AUAAUGAUACUUCCGGCGACGGCUUGUCCCACAGGAAUGGGAAGGGGUGAAAGUCCCAUGC
rfam:Eubacterium sp. CAG:786 genomic scaffold, scf340